AUUGAACGCUGGCGGCAUGCCUUACACAUGCAAGUCGAACGGCAGCACGGGUGCUUGCACCUGGUGGCGAGUGGCGAACGGGUGAGUAAUACAUCGGAACGUACCUUAUCGUGGGGGAUAACGCAGCGAAAGCUGUGCUAAUACCGCAUACGCCCUGAGGGGGAAAGCGGGGGAUCGAAAGACCUCGCGCGAUUAGAGCGGCCGAUGCCUGAUUAGCUUGUUGGUGGGGUAUAAGCCCACCAAGGCGACGAUCAGUAGCUGGUCUGAGAGGACGAUCAGCCACACUGGGACUGAGACACGGCCCAGACUCCUACGGGAGGCAGCAGUGGGGAAUUUUGGACAAUGGGGGCAACCCUGAUCCAGCAAUACCGCGUGAGUGAAGAAGGCCUUCGGGUUGUAAAGCUCUUUUGUCAGGGAAGAAACACCGGCUCUAACACAGUCCGGGAAUGACGGUACCUGAAGAAUAAGCACCGGCUAACUACGUGCCAGCCGCCGCCGUAA
rnacentral:rRNA from 1 species